AUUGAACGCUGGCGGCAUGCCUUACACAUGCAAGUCGAAUGGUAACAGGGAGCUUGCUCCGCUGACGAGUGGCGAACGGGUGAGUAAUGUAUCGGAACGUACCUUUCAGUGGGGGAUAACGUAGCGAAAGUUACGCUAAUACCGCAUAUUCUGUGAGCAGGAAAGCAGGGGAUCGCAAGACCUUGCGCUGAUUGAGCGGCCGAUAUCAGAUUAGCUAGUUGGUGAGGUAAAGGCUCACCAAGGCGACGAUCUGUAGCGGGUCUGAGAGGAUGAUCCGCCACACUGGAACUGAGACACGGUCCAGACUCCUACGGGAGGCAGCAGUGGGGAAUUUUGGACAAUGGGGGCAACCCUGAUCUAGCCAUUCCGCGUGAGUGAAGAAGGCCUUCGGGUUGUAAAGCUCUUUCGCAAGGGAAGAAAACUUACCUUCUAAUAAAGGGUGAGGUUGACGGUACCUUGAUAAGAAGCACCGGCUAACUACGUGCCAGCCGCCGCAGUAAAAC
rnacentral:rRNA from 1 species